UGGUUGUCCCUGGCUUUAUUCUGAGCAU
rnacentral:piRNA from 1 species